AUUGAACGCUGGCGGAAUGCUUUACACAUGCAAGUCGAACGGCAGCACGGACUUCGGUCUGGUGGCGAGUGGCGAACGGGUGAGUAAUGUAUCGGAACGUGCCCAGUCGGGGGGGAUAACGUAGUGAAAAUUACGCUAAUACCGCAUACGAUCUAGGGAUGAAAGCGGGGGAUCGCAAGACCUCGCGCGAUUGGAGCGGCCGAUAUCAGAUUAGGUAGUUGGUGGGGUAAAGGCCCACCAAGCAAACGAUCUGUAGCUGGUCUGAGAGGACGACCACCGACACGGGAACUGAGACCCGGUCCAGACUCCUGCGGGAGGCAGCAUUGUGGAUUUAUGAUACAGGGACCCAAGCCUGCUCCACCCAUUCCGCGCGCAGCAUGUAGGCGAUCCGGUUGUACAGUGAUUUCGUCCACAACGAAACGUUUUCUAUUAAUAGUAGUAGCCCAUCACGGUACUGUAAGAACACGCACACGCUCACUACGUGCCGGCGGCCGCCGCUG
rnacentral:rRNA from 1 species